rnacentral:rRNA from 1 species
UACGAAGGGGGCUAGCGUUGCUCGGAAUUACUGGGCGUAAAGGGCGCGUAGGCGGCACUGUUAGUCAGGCGUGAAAGUCCUGGGCUCAACCUGGGAACUGCGCUUGAUACGGCAGAGCUAGAGGAUGGAAGAGGCUCGCGGAAUUCCCAGUGUAGAGGUGAAAUUCGUAGAUAUGGGAAGAACACCGGUGGCGAAGGCGGCGAGCUGGUCCAUUCUGACGCUGAGGCGCGACAGCGUGGGGAGCAAACAGG